rnacentral:rRNA from 1 species
CAUGCAAGUCGAGCGCGAACGGUCCUUCGGGACUUAUUAGAGCGGCGGACGGGUGAGUAAUGCAUAGGAAUCUGCCCAGUAGUGGGGGAUAGCCCGGGGAAACCCGGAUUAAUACCGCAUACGUCCUACGGGAGAAAGCAGGGGAUCUUCGGACCUUGCGCUAUUGGAUGAGCCUAUGUCGGAUUAGCUUGUUGGUAAGGUAACGGCUUACCAAGGCAACGAUCCGUAGCUGGUCUGAGAGGAUGAUCAGCCACACUGGGACUGAGACACGGCCCAGACUCCUACGGGAGGCAGCAGUGGGGAAUAUUGGACAAUGGGGGCAACCCUGAUCCAGCCAUGCCGCGUGUGUGAAGAAGGCCUUCGGGUUGUAAAGCACUUUCAGUAGGGAGGAAGGCCUGUAAGUUAAUACCUUGCAGGAUUGACGUUACCUACAGAAGAAGCACCGGCUAACUCCGUGCCAGCAGCCGCGGUAAUACGGAGGGUG